AAACAUAUUUAAAAAAGUCAACGGCAUCAAAUAUUUAGGGAUGGAGGGAGUAUGAUUAAAACAAAUAAAGGUAUAUCAACUAAAGUAUUUUCCAAUGAAAACCAAAUGUGCAUAUGAUAAAAAAAACUCUCUAUUUUGAUUUGUGGCUAUAUUAAAAUAUUCACAAAUAUAUGUGAAUAUAUUGUUAUUUAUACUCGGAGGAUGUUCUGUUUUAUCAGUUUGGGCAGUAGAAGAACUAAGGUAGCCUGUGCUAUUCGGGAAAUUUCUUCACUAAUGACUAAUUAGAUUUGUUAAUGACUAAUUAAGAGCAGGGAUUAGAGGUGGGGCUGGCACACCAACCAGCCCCAACAGUGAAUCCGCCACUGGUGAUGUUGUAUUUCGAAUGUUCAUAAAGCAUGCUGUCAGAUUAUCUGUAAAGCAUAUAUUCCUGUUGCCUUAAAUCCAUCAUGAUUUUUCAGGUUUUGGAUGUCACACGUCUUCACAAUGUUAACAACUUGCUUAGCCUACAUUAUUUCCAUAUUGUUUAGUGUUUACUGAGUACUGACCAUAGCAAAUCUUGUUUGCAUGGAUGAAUCACAUUCACAAUCCAAUGGCCUUAUCCUCUUGAUUGACUAUGUCUAAGCUCUUCCCCUUUUUAGUGUUUUUCUAUUUGGAUUCCAUGAAGGGCUAUACUACUGCACAUGUCACACUUGAUGCCAGUUAUCCAUGGGAUGGCAGCUGGGAGGCAUCUGACCCUGGCUGGUAAGACAUACAAGUGCCCCUCUGCAGCUGUAAAAUUCAGUCCUGAAUCUUUUCACUUAAUUUAUAUCUGUAGUGUUAGCAGAACAAGAUGAUCAUUAGCCAUUGAGAUGAUGUAGCAGGCAGUCAUAUGAGAUUUUUUUGGACUUCAAUGUUAGCAUGGCCCAUUUCCUGAUUAAUUGGACUGGUUGAUCUGCAAAGGUUGGUCUUGUUAGCUGAAGUGACACCAUAUGCAGCUUAUUACCUUGAUAAAAAUGGGAGCAAUGCUCUCAUGCGUUUUUGAGGGAAAAAAAGAGGAAGCAGUGUCAACGGAAACUGAUCCUUACUGCAGAGGUGCAUCAAUACUGAAAUGAGUCUUGUGCUACAGUUAAUUGUAGUAAAUCACUACAGCAGUAGCAAUGGUGUUUCCAGUGUAGUGCAGACAACUUCUGUUACUGUAGAAUUUCAACUGGAAAGUACACCUCUGAUCUGAUGUUCAGAAUUGAUCCUAAAACAUGACACAAAAUUGAUGCCGACUCAAGUGAACUUGUCAAGAGUCUGCGUGACAAGUUGCUUCUGUAUUUAAAGUUGGUGAUGAUAAUGCCAAAAUUCUGGUGCAUGAAGGUUCUCUAACCCGUUGUUGGAUGGGUUUUAAGAAAAACAAGUUGUCAACCGAUUUUUAUUGUAAAUCAUUCUAGGAAACAUACUCCAAACUAAUAUGAAUUUUCCUGGUUAUUUAUUUAAUCCGUGUGCCACUUUACGUAGAAAAUCAUGUGUUUGUGUAAACCUUAAAUUGACAUGUUGGCAAAUGUCAAUAUAGAAUUGUUUUUCAGAAUUUCGAGGUGUUGAAGACAUUUCAGUGAGGAAGGUUACAAUAUAACAUCGAGUAUAAGGUGGUUACAACGCAUA